GAUGAACGCUGGCGGCGUGCCUAAUACAUGCAAGUCGAGCGAACAGACGAGGAGCUUGCUCCUCUGACGUUAGCGGUGGACGGGUGAGUAACACGUGGAUAACCUACCUAUAAGACUGGGAUAACUUCGGGAAACCGGAGCUAAUACCGGAUAAUAUAUUGAACCGCAUGGUUCAAUAGUGAAAGACGGUUUUGCUGUCACUUAUAGAUGGAUCCGCGCCGCAUUAGCUAGUCGGUAAGGUAACGGCUUACCAAGGCAACGAUGCGUAGCCGACCUGAGAGGGUGAUCGGCCACACUGGAACUGAGACACGGUCCAGACUCCUACGGGAGGCAGCAGUAGGGAAUCUUCCGCAAUGGGCGAAAGCCUGACGGAGCAACGCCGCGUGAGUGAUGAAGGUCUUCGGAUCGUAAAACUCUGUUAUUAGGGAAGAACAAAUGUGUAAGUAACUAUGCACGUCUUGACGGUACCUAAUCAGAAAGCCACGGCUAACUACGUG
rnacentral:rRNA from 1 species